GAUGAACGCUAGCGGCAGGCCUAACACAUGCAAGUCGAGGGGCAGCACAGAAAUUCAGCAAUGAGUUUUGGUGGCGACCGGCAGACGGGUGCGUAACGCGUGUGCAACCUACCCUUAACAGGGGAAUAACGGAGGGAAACUUCCACUAAUACCCCAUAACAUCCCACGAGGCAUCUCUUGUGGUUGAAAGCUCCGGCGGUUAAGGAUGGGCACGCGUUGUAUUAGAUUGUUGGUGAGGUAACGGCUCACCAAGUCUACGAUACAUAGGGGGACUGAGAGGUUAACCCCCCACACUGGUACUGAGGCACGGACCAGACUCCUACGGGAGGCAGCAGUGAGGAAUAUUGGUCAAUGGACGCAAGUCUGAACCAGCCAUGCCGCGUGCAGGAAGACGGCCCUAUGAGUUGUAAACUGCUUUUGCAAGAGGAUAAUUGCGGGUACGUGUACCCGCUUGAAGGUACCUUGCGAAUAAGGAUCGGCUAACUCCGUGCCAGCAGCCGCAGUAA
rnacentral:rRNA from 1 species